AAGUCUGUGAUUAAGAAGACCAUGGGGUCUGCUGCGUUUGGAGAGGAAGGGGGAGGGAAGGGGGGAGGGCCAGUGCCCUGAGGCUGUGUGGGUGGUGACAGCUCAGCUCUGGCCCCAGGUCCCCAUGAUGCCAGAAUACCUAAGGAAACGCUUAGGCGACAGCAGGAUCCCCGUCACCCUGGCUGCGCUCUACCUGCUCAUUUACAUCUUCCCCAAGAUCUCGCUACAGGCUUGAGAGACAGACAUCGUCGGAUGACAACAUCCUUUCAGAACCCUGCCUCUCGGCUGGUGGGAAGCUACAGAGGUGGGAAGCCUUCCCAAGGGAAGUUACCACCGAGGUUCCCAGCUAGGGAAAGGGGGGCUGGCAUUCCAGAUGGCUGGACAGGGCUCCUUAGGGAAGCAGGGAACAUGAAGGGAGUGAAGGAAAUGAGGCCAAGGGGCGAGCAGCCCAUGAAGCCUGGCAUGCAACUGUAACAUACUUACAUAGACGUUAUCAUGGGGGACGUGGGAGGACCACUGAGGAAUUUUAAUGGGCAGGAGAAGGAUGAUAGGAUCGUGACAGUAUUUGAUAAGGGUUGCAGUGUCGAGGGUGGAGGGUAGAAGACCAAGAAUAGAAGCCGGAAGACGACUGAGGAGGAAGUUGUAUUAGCCUAGUGAAUGGGUGUCAAAUGUAAUGGCCCUCAGGGCUCCAGUUUGAGACCUCCCCAUCUGGGAAGAGGUGGCUGAAUAAGGGGGCAGUCUAGGACUCUUCUGUGUUUGCCCGAAUCCAGGCUUAGGGGAGCCUGUGCUGAAAAUGUCCUUCCAUUCAGUCAUCCACCAACUUAUGUCUCCCCGGGUGGACAUGUAUGCAGGCGCCAUCUUUAUCCAGCAGUCUCUGCACCUGGAUCUCUACCUGGCCAUAGUCGGACUGUUGGCCAUCACGGCUCUGUAUACUAUAGCAGGUGGCCUGGCCGCUGUGAUUUACACGGACGCCCUGCAGACCCUGAUCAUGCUUAUAGGAGCACUCAUCCUGAUGGGCUACAGUAAGUGGGGCCCCAGGGUCACUUGGGUGGGUGACAGGCCCUCUCCUGGUGACAUCUGCUUUCAUCACUGUGAUCGGCAAGCCCAUGCUCAAAAGCAUACCCAGGGCAUUCCUGCUCGAGACAUGGUUAUUUUAGCUGUAAAAGAACUGGGUUUAUGGAAACAUACUGUUUGGUUUUUUUUUUAAGAUUUAUUUAUUUUAGAGGGAUGGGGGAGGAGGGCAGAAGAAGAGAGAC